UGGGAAAAGCUCGUUUCGUUCAAUUACAUUACUCUCUCAGUCUUUCUCAAGGGUUUAAGCUUUGUUCAUUUCUAGGGUUUAUCACACUCUCUCUCAAACUUCGAUCAAAUUCUCUAUAUUUCUUCCCUAAUCUUCUACAAUUUUCUCAGUAAAUCAUCUUCGAAGCUGCGAAUAAUGUGGGCUCUUCGUCGAGCUUCUGCAAAUUCUAUAAGGGCUCAAGGAUUAAAUGUAGCAGCAUUUCGAGCUUGUGCUGGACUUGGACAGUUCAGUGGCCAUACAAAAGACAAGUCAAAGAACUGUGAGCAUCGUGGUUUGAUGCGUGAUAAGUGGAUAACAUCUAAUGCAUGCCAGUUUACCGCACAUUUUCCAAAUAAGUUCUCAGCUGGGAGCCGGAGUCUUUCCUCAGAAGCUGGUGCUAAGAGUGGAGAGGAAGAGGAUGACUUGGAAGAGGGAUUUUCUGAGCUUGAAACACCUGAUCCCUUGGAGGCUACUGGGGGAGGUGUUGAAGAUAGUGACAGUUCAUCUGAUUCUGAUUCUGAAUCCGAAUCUGAAUUAUCUAGUGUUGAUGAGAAUGCGGAAGAGACCCUGGAAGCUGAGCUGUUGAAAGAUGCUGGGGAGAUACCAUCAACAAAGAAGUUGGGCCAUUCGCCUCUGUUGAAACUAAUUUUUGAAGAGUCUGGUCCAUCUCUUUCUAAAGCUCUUGAUAAUUAUGCUACUGAGGGCAAGGACUUAAAUCGUGCUGAAGUUUAUCAUGCUCUUUUGAAUCUAAGACGGCGUAAGAUGUUUUCAAAGGCCUUGCAGCUGUUGGAGUGGAUAGAUAAAAGAGAGGAUUUUGAGUACACUGAGCGGGAUUAUGCAUCUAGAGUGGAUCUGAUUGCCAAGGUGCGUGGUCUUCACAAGGCGGAGACUUUUAUUGACACUAUCCCUAAAUCCCACAGACAAGAAGUGGUCUAUAGAACUUUGCUCGCCAACUGUGUGUCCCUCACCAACGUGGCUAAAUCUGAAGAGAUAUUUAAUAAAAUGAAGGACCUUGGCUUUCCAAUUUCGCCCUUUACUUGCAACCAGUUGCUUGUUCUUUACAAGAGAACUGAUAAGAAAAAAAUUGCAGAUGUACUUCUAAUGAUGGAGAAAGAUGAUAUUAAGCCCUCUCUUUUUACUUACCAACUCUUGAUAGACACAAAGGGCCUAUCAAAUGACAUUAUUGGUAUGGAACAAAUUGUUGAGACAAUGCGAGCUGAAGGCAUCACACCCAACUUCCGUAUCCAAGCCACUCUUGCUCGUCAUUAUGCCUUUGGUGGACUCAAAGAAAAGGCGGAAGCAAUUUUGCAGGAGAUGGAAGGGGAUGACUUAAACUCUAAUCGCGGAGUCUGUCCCAUUUUGCUCUCAAUUUAUGCAAAUCUAGGCAAGGCUGAUGAUGUUGAAAGAGUGUGGAAAGUUUGUGAGCCAAAGCCCCGAGAAGGAGAUUACCUGGCUGCUAUUGAAGCUUUUGGGAAGCUGAAGAACGUCGAAAAAGCAGAAGCUGUGUACCAGAAGAUGACCAAAUCAACCAAUAAGCUUUCUACUAGGCAUUAUUCUUGCAUGCUGAAAGUAUAUGCAGAAAACAAAAUGCUGGGCAAGGGAAAGCAGCUACUAAAUCAGAUGGGAAACAGUGGCUGCCAAAUUGGGCCAGUUGCUUGGGAUGCUCUUGUGAAGCUCUACGUGGAUGCUGGGGAAGUGGAGAAAGCAGACUCUAUAUUGCAGAAAGCAACCUCACAGAAUCAGCAGAAGAGGCCGUUGUUUAGUUCUUAUAUGUCUAUCUUAGACCAGUAUGCUAAAAGGGGUGAUGUCCAUAAUGCUGAGAAAAUUUUCCUUCGGAUGAAGCAGGCUGGCUAUAUUUCCCGUGCGAGGCCAUUCAGUGGACUGCUCCAAGCAUACAUAAAUGCCAAGGUUCCAGCAUAUGGGUUUAGAGAGAGGAUGAAGGCAGAUAAUAUAUUCCCAAAUAGAACUCUUGCUGGACAGUUAGCCCAGGUUGAUGCAUUUAGAAAAAAUGCCGUGUCUGAUUUGCUCGAUUGAAGAUUUUGCUGAAUGAUCCAUUGCAUUCUUGCAGUAGAAACUGCAGAUCUGCUUUUGUUGAAUGCCUAAAGUUGGUAACUAUUCCAUCUCUGUUAGCUAAAAUACAGCUCCUAAUUUGAACAGAUUUCAGUGGUCACUGUUGCAAAUGGUAACUUCGUUUUGAGCUGAUUGAGCUACACUAUUUGAAUCCGUGUUCCGUGUGGUUUGUUCUUUUGCUGCUGAGAUUGGUGUACGUGGUGAUCAAAAUUGGGCUGAUUCUCGUUGGUGAUAUACUUGAUCCUUAGGCCAAAUGAACCUAAUUUCAAUUUAGACUAGGAAACGGGCUUGUUUGCCCAAUCUUAACUUUGAUCAUACUUGUGGGUCAAAUUUAAGCUAGAAGUACAAUUUGUCUCUUGUGUGGUAGAGUUUUGCGUAGUGGCUAACUGGCUAUUAACGGUUUGAGAUAGUAUUGGUAAAUAUAUAUACAGUUUGGCUCAUGUCAUAAUAUUGGUAAUAGUUUCUUAAAAUUAGCUCAUGGUGCUCUUUAUUUUA